rnacentral:rRNA from 1 species
UGACGGGGGCCCGCACAAAGGUGGAGGCAUGGGGUUUAAUUGGAAGCAAACGGGCAGACCUUACCAGCUCUUGACAUUCGGGGUUUGGGCAGUGGUGACAUUGUCCUUCAGUUAGGCUGACCCCAGAACAGGUGCUGCAUGGCUGUCGUCAGCCAGUGUCGUGAGAUGUUGGGUUAAGCCCCGCAACGAGCGCAACCCUCGCCCUUAGUUUCCAGCAUUUAGUUGGGCACUAUAAGGGGACUGCCGGUGAUAAGCCGAGAGGAAGGUGGGGAUGACGUCAAGUCCUCAUGGCCCUUACGGGCUGGGCUACACACGUGCUACAAUGGUGGUGACAGUGGGCAGCGAGACAGCGAUGUCGAGCUAAUCUCCAAAAGCCAUCUCAGUUCGGAUUGCACUCUGCAACUCGAGUGCAUGAAGUUGGAAUCGCUAGUAAUCGCAGAUCAGCAUGCUGCGGUGAAUACGUUCCCGGGCCUUGUACACACCGCCCGUCACACCAUGGGAGUUGGUUUUACCCGAAGGUAGUGCGCUAACCGCAAGGAGGCAGCUAACCACGGUAGGGUCAGCGACUGGGGUGAAGUCGUAACAAGGUA